rnacentral:rRNA from 1 species
UGGAAGGGCCAUACCACCCUGAGAAUGCCCGAUCUCGACUGAUCUUGUAAGGUAAGCAGGGCUGGGCCCGAUUAGUACUUGGAUGGGGGACCGCCCGGAAAUACCUUUCAGGCAGGUGGUUUUCC